rnacentral:rRNA from 1 species
AACGAACGCUGGCGGCAUGCCUAACACAUGCAAGUCGAACGAUGCCUUCGGGCAUAGUGGCGCACGGGUGCGUAACGCGUGGGAAUCUGCCCUUGGGUUCGGAAUAACUCAGAGAAAUUUGAGCUAAUACCGGAUGAUGACGUAAGUCCAAAGAUUUAUCGCCCAAGGAUGAGCCCGCGUAAGAUUAGCUAGUUGGUGGGGUAAAGGCCUACCAAGGCGACGAUCUUUAGCUGGUCUGAGAGGAUGAUCAGCCACACUGGGACUGAGACACGGCCCAGACUCCUACGGGAGGCAGCAGUGGGGAAUAUUGGACAAUGGGCGAAAGCCUGAUCCAGCAAUGCCGCGUGAGUGAUGAAGGCCUUAGGGUUGUAAAGCUCUUUUACCAGGGAUGAUAAUGACAGUACCUGGAGAAUAAAGCUCCGGCUAACUCCGUGCCAGCAGCCGCGGUAAU